GCACUGCUGACGAGUCCCACAAUAGGACAAAACGACCGUCUAGUGC
rnacentral:hammerhead_ribozyme from 1 species